AGCAGCCAUGGCACAACCUAGCAGAGACAGCCAGGCCUCUGUGGAGUUGGCAGGAGUCAGCUGGAACAACCAAGACCAGCAGGGACACCAGGAGAAGUUCUCUGCCAUGCCUCUCUCAACGAAGUGAAGGUCAUUGAAGACUCGAGACCGGGAAGCAUUUCAAACCUAGCUAUGCAAGCCCCCAUCACUGUCCACUGAGUCCUAUUUAUAGUCCCUCCAAACUUCCCACGGGGCUUGCCUAACCUGAGUCUGUCUUAGCAGACUGUAGCAGCUGAUAUCACUCUGCCAAUCCGCCCGAGUUCAUGGAAACAGCAAGAAGCCACCAGUGCACCACCUGAAGUAUGCUGGCGAGUUUCUGUGAUGUCGCAAGUGGAGCUCAGCAACAUAGUGUAAGUGAUGAGGCUGAAACGAGCCGGAGAAAUGAUGAGAUCGCUCAGGGCUGGCCAAGUGACUGAGAUGGGACUUCAAAGUGCUGGGGAUGGGAUACAAGCCCUUGUGCACAGUAAGAAAAUAUUCUCUGGUGAGCUGUUCCCAGGCCUACCUGGAAUGCCUAGCAGUCUUUUCUUGAAGAUUUUAUGUCCAUUCUACAGAGGAGGAAGAUAACAGUAAAGCCCUCGGCCAGCCUGUGUCUGAGCUUUUAGUGUUGGUCUUAUGCCCAAAGCCACCUUUGUUUGGAAAUCCUAACAUCACUGUGCCUUGCUGAGGUGACUGUAGGCUCGCUUGCCAGCCCUUUGCUGAGGCGAUGAUGUAACUGGAGAAGGGCACGGCAUAAUAAGUGGCCAUCGCACACAAGGCAAGAGCCAAAAACUGGGAGGUCUCCACUCUCCUCUUUGAACAAUUGAAGUGCAUUAAACAUCUCUCCCGCAGUCACACUAAA